rnacentral:rRNA from 1 species
AUUGAACGCUGGCGGCAUGCCUUACACAUGCAAGUCGAACGGCAGCACGGGAGCAAUCCUGGUGGCGAGUGGCGAACGGGUGAGUAAUACAUCGGAACGUGCCCAAUCGUGGGGGAUAACGCAGCGAAAGCUGUGCUAAUACCGCAUACGAUCUACGGAUGAAAGCAGGGGAUCGCAAGACUUUGCGCGAAUGGAGCGGCCGAUGGCAGAUUAGGUAGUUGGUGAGGUAAAGGCUCACCAAGCCGUCGAUCUGUAGCUGGUCUGAGAGGAGGACCAGCCCACCGGGACUGAGACGUUGUCUAUUUUCUUACUGGAGGUAGCU